CUCCUACCGGAGGCAGCAGUGGGAAUCGUUGCACAAUGGGGGAAACCCUGGAAUGCAGCGACGCCGCGUGAGCGGAUGAAGCCUUCGGGUGUAAGCUCUUCGGCAGGGAAGAUAAUGACGGUACCUGCAGAAGCAGCUGCCGGCUAACUACGUGCCAGCAGCCGCGGUAAUAC
rnacentral:rRNA from 1 species